AUUGAACGCUGGCGGCGUGCCUAACACAUGCAAGUCGAGCGGUAACAGGUGUAGCAAUACAUGCUGACGAGCGGCGAACGGGUGAGUAAUGCUUCGGAAUCUACCUUAUGGUGGGGAAUAACUAGCCGAAAGGUUAGCUAAUACCGCAUACGUCCUACGGGAGAAAGCAGGGGAUCGCAAGACCUUGCGCCAAAAGAUGAGCCGAAGUCGGAUUAGCUAGUUGGUAGGGUAACGGCCUACCAAGGCGACGAUCCGUAGCUGGUCUGAGAGGACGACCAGCCACACUGGGACUGAGACACGGCCCAGACUCCUACGGGAGGCAGCAGUGGGGAAUAUUGGACAAUGGGGGAAACCCUGAUCCAGCGACGCCGCGUGUGUGAAGAAGGCCUGCGGGUUGUAAAGCACUUUUAGUGGGGAUGAAAUGUGCAGGGCUAACACCUCUGCAUUUUGACCUAACCCACAGAAAAAGCACCGGCUAACUCUGUGCCAGCAGCCGCGGUAAUACAGAGGGUGCAAGCGUUAAUCGGAAUUACUGGGCGUAAAGCGUGCGUAGACGGUUACAUAAGUCGGGUGUGAAAGCCCCGGGCUCAACCUGGGAAUUGCAUUCGAGACUGCGUAGCUAGGGUGCGGAAGAGGGAAGCGGAAUUUCCGGUGUAGCGGUGAAAUGCGUAGAUAUCGGAAGGAACACCAGUGGCGAAAGCGGCUUCCUGGUCCAGCACCGACGUUCAGGCACGAAAGCGUGGGGGAGCAAACA
rnacentral:rRNA from 1 species